rfam:Triticum aestivum genome assembly, contig: Triticum_aestivum_CS42_TGACv1_scaffold_290407_4AL
GAAUUACCCCCUCCAUCCCAAAAUUCUUAUCUUGGAUUAGUCUAGAUACGGAUGUAUCUAAUACCAAAACGUGAGUUGAUACAUCCGUAUUUAGACAAAUUAAGACAAGAAUUUUGGGACGGAGGGAGUAUUUU